GCCGAGCUCACUAGCGAGAGCUUGUCACCCAAGCGGGGGCUUUGAGGUGGUGUUGGACGGUGUUGUGGUGCUGUGGGCCUGGUCCAGUUGUGCUGUUGUUGGCCCGCCCGUUCCAAGUUGAGUAGUCGUCCGGCGGGGCUUAUGCGAAAGCUGGGCUUCACGGGCCAUGAUGUGGCAGGCACGGCGUGAGGCUGGCCUAACGGUGGAAGGAUAUUACAGGAAAAUUUUAGCUACAGUUUGUGUCCCAAAAACACAUUGGUCCUUCAUUUUU
rnacentral:SRP_RNA from 1 species